AAUCAAGUUCAUUAUAGGAAAAAGAAAGCUGAACUGAAAAGCUGAGUGUUCCCAGGACAUUGCUAGUGCAGCACCAAUAAUCUAUAUUUGGAAGAACUCUGGAAAGUGAAGAAUGAAUUGCUCAGUAAUCUGGGAGGACAUUAGCCAUUUUCCAUGAGUCAUGACUCAAGGUUGUCUUCUAUGCCCUGCACUGGAGAAGCAGUGGAGUCAGGAGAGACCCAGAGACUGGUGUUUAAAGAUGGGUUUGUCUUCCACCAUGGGAAUUCUAGCAAGCCAUCAUUUCAGACACUGUUUCUGUAAAAUGGGAUGGUAGAUCGUGUGGUGAAUAGAAGCCAGGGGGCCCUCAUGCUCCUAACCUUCACAUCCUUUCCUCUUGAAUGCAAGCGAGACCGCCGACUUCCUUCCUUCUUCACGGAUGUUGCUCCAGUUAUUAGGCUUUGCGUUGUACUGUGUACAGCUCCAUCUUGGUAGAAGGAAGAGAGGCUCUUCUUGCUGGCCUGAUGACGUGAGCAGCCAUGCUGGGAACAUCCCCACGCCAAGGCCAGUAUCUCAUCAACAAACAGCAUCAGCUGAGGCUCUGAAUCAUGCAGCUGCAAGCUGAUUCUGCCCCAAACCUGAAUGAGAUUAAAAGUGGAUUCUUGCAUAGCUGAGAACACAGCCCAGCUGACACCUGAUUAGCCCCCAUAAGGAAUCCGUGGACUCCUGGCUCACAGAAACCAUAUCAAGAUGUGGAAAGAAAUAAUAACAAGACCAUGUUCCAUUUCUUGUUAAGAUUUGAUAGUUGCGUUUCACUACAUUAAGAAAGGUUAAUAAACAAAAAGUAUUUUUUCUUCCCUGACUCCCAACAGUCAUAGUAUCCUUUGGUCCUACAGAAGACUUUGUUUUAAACACUUCUUAUAUUGAAAAUGAACUAUUUUCUUAUACAUAAAUGGCAUGACCAUCUUUCCUGCUAUAUAGGGACUGAGACGUUAUCUGCUUUUUCUGCAACUAGCUUGUACUUGUGCUUAAUGGUUUCUCUGUGGAUGUCUGUAAAUUGGAGGAAGGCAAGUCUUGAACCCUCUUAAAUGCACAUGGGGUGAACUCAAUCUCAUUUCUAAUUCUCUUCCCAAUCCUCUAUAAAUCCUACGGAGGAAUUUUGUUAAUCAUCAGUUCUAAUUUUGGUCUAUGAAAGUGUGCUCAGCACAUGUACUGGUGUACAGGAUGGAAAUGAUUCACUUGGAAUAAAGACCACCCUGUAGAUAACACACAUAGGAAGGACUGGAAGCUAUGGCUGUGCUCAUGUCCCAGAGUCUCUCAGUCUGUGGUUGUUCCUCGGGAAGCUCUAAACACACAGUUACAGAAUUAUGCAAAGCCUCUUACUUGAUAAGAUCUUCUGGAAAUACUACAUGGUCAAGAGCAGUCUACACACAGCUUUAAGCUUAAAGUCUGUUCCAUCCCGCCACCACCAACAGCUUCUUUAAAAUAUGAAGACUUCGAAGUUAUUUAUCCAAACCAACCUGAUCAUUUCUUAAGAGUGAAUAUACCUUGGAAGACGUGUCCUGCCUUUAGUAGCGUCACAAUGGAUUACAUCCUCUAUAAAGCAGUCUGGGGUGAGAAAAUCGAAUUUGGACACCGUUGAGGAGACUAUUGCAGUCAUCCAAGCUCAAGAUGGUGGAGCUUCAUCCUUGAGAAUAACCAAUGGGGAUAGAUUUAAGAGACACUUAGAGUCUGCAGCCAACAGGGCUGAAUGAGCAGAGAGUUAUGAUUCAGAAGAUCAUCUAAAAUUGAACAGCUGCCACUACUGGCAAUAAGUCUACUGCCAUUUGGUAGAUAACCUUCUUAUCACACAGAAAAAUAUCAGUACAGACAAAUAGACCGCAAAGAAAAUGAGACCAUCAGCAAAGAAGAUAAAGAAGUUUGUACAAAGCAACUUUUUAUAAAUGGAUGGCUGUCAGGCAAAAAUAAAUUUCCUGUGGACAAGACCAAGAGCAAGGCAAGAGGAAAAUAAACAUGUUUAAACUAUUGGAGAGUCCAUAAUUUAAAUAUAAA
ensembl:lncRNA LINC00343 long intergenic non-protein coding RNA 343